rnacentral:misc_RNA from 1 species
AACAUCGCGCACCUGCGGGAACCUGCGGAGGGAUCAUUACUGAGUGUAAAAACUCCCAAACCCAUUGUGAACAUACCACUGUUGCUUCGGCGGAUACGCCCCGGGCGCGCUCUUCACAGGGCGUGCCCCGGAACCAGGCGCCCGCCGGGGGACCGAAACUCUUGUUUUCUUAGGAUCUCUGAGUGUGAUUAUUAAAUAAAUCAAAACUUUUAGCAACGGAUCUCAGAUCGGAAGAGCACA